rnacentral:rRNA from 1 species
AUGCAAUUGUUAUCACAUGAGCACUUCGUCCUUACUGCUGUCACUCUUUGGGCAAUCUGGCACGCACGUCGUAAGGCUAUCCAUGAGUCCAUCUUUCAGAGUCCCCAAGCUACCGACGGUUUCGUCAUCAGUUUCAUUGCUGAACUAGAUGCACUGAAGCCCAAUGAUAAGGGGAGGGCAAACGGCCACCCUGGCUAGCGUCAGCCUAAGAGGCCACCAGCGGGAAGUUGCAAAAUUCACGUGGAUGCUGGAGUAUUGACAAGACGAGGAGGAUCAGUAGCGGCUGUAUGCAGGGACGAGUGGGGAAACUUUAUGGGCAGCUCUGCCUUGGUUAUUGAAGGGGUGGUAGACCCGGCCACCCUUGAGGCAGUGGCAUGUCGGGAAGCACUAUCCUUGACUGAAGAUUUGGGCAUAACGAGCUUUGUUGUGGCGUCGGACUGCAGCCAAGUUGUAUCGGAUAUCAAUAAGAGAUCACACGGGAUUUACGGAGCGAUUAUUGAGGAGAUAACCAUUAGAUCAUCCAAUUUUCAAUGUAAUUUUACGUUUGAGAGUCGUGCUGUGAAUUAUGAAGCACAUAGAUUAGCCAAGUUCUCACUUGCUAGAGGUCCGGGGCGCCAUGUGUGGUUUGGAGUGCCUCAUGACCAAAGUUGUAUCCCACAUCAUGUGGAUUUUCAUGAAUAA